ensembl:processed_transcript
AUCAUUAGUGUUAUUAUUACAAAGUGAACUGCUUUCGUUUCACUGUUGUUGUUGUUUUUGCUUUUAGACAUGUAACUUAACGUACUCCAGAGACGCACUCACUUGCACAGCAUUGAAUGGAAAAGGCUUUGUCCAUGUCCAGUUGAGGGCAUCAAGAACACGCAGAUAGCAUAAACCUGUGUCAGCCUGGACAGACUGUAGAUCUGCUACUCAACGCCAAGGCUUUUGUAUGCAUGUCUGACUACUACAGUGUUCUUUAAAGGUAUUACUGGAGCAAAACAACAGCACCUGUUACAGUGAAAUUUGUAUUCAUAAAAAUAGUGAUACAUGUGUAGCAGGUCCAGUACAUGUGAUGUCAUUGAGAAGUUGUUUUUAUUAAAUGUCAUUAAAACAAAUAAAUAAACAUGCUAUUUAAAUAAAUCUAAAUAUUAAAAACUUGAGGAUUAAGAUGAGAAAUUAAAUGCAUCAUCUGUCUUGUGAAAAGGGUCUACUUAAGAAUUCUGGUGUUUCCCAACUGAAAGGGAUAGUUCACUCAAGAAUGAAAAUUUAUUUUAUUUUUUA